AGUGAACGCUGGCGGUAGGCCUAACACAUGCAAGUCGAACGGCAGCACAGUAAGAGCUUGCUCUUACGGGUGGCGAGUGGCGGACGGGUGAGGAAUACAUCGGAAUCUACUUUUUCGUGGGGGAUAACGUAGGGAAACUUACGCUAAUACCGCAUACGACCUACGGGUGAAAGCAGGGGAUCUUCGGACCUUGCGCGAUUGAAUGAGCCGAUGUCGGAUUAGCUAGUUGGCGGGGUAAAGGCCCACCAAGGCGACGAUCCGUAGCUGGUCUGAGGGGAUGAUCAGCCACACUGGAACUGAGACACGGUCCAGACUCCUACGGGAGGCAGCAGCGGGGAAUAUUGGACAAUGGGCGCAAGCCUGAUCCAGCCAUACCGCGUGGGUGAAGAAGGCCUUCGGGUUGUAAAGCCCUUUUGUUGGGAAAGAAAAGCAGCAGGUUAAUACCCCGCUGUUCUGACGGUACCCAAAGAAUAAGCACCGGCUAACUUCGUG
rnacentral:rRNA from 1 species